UAUGAUUUCUUGUUUAUUAGAUUCAUUUGAGAUCAGUGAGGAUGGAGAUAAAAUAUGACAACCAACUAUGAGGAAACCACCAACAUUUAGGGUGUUGUUUGGCUGAGUGGCGAGUCAGUUUGGGGAGUUCCCCUUCACUGUGACCUAAUGACAGGAAUGACCCUGCUUCCACCACAAUCUGCCCUUGAGUGAAGAAUUUACCCUUGAGGUGGAGCUGGCCUGUGACCAGUGUGGACCAGGAUUCACUGGAGUGGAACACUUAUGCUGACUUGUGAUCUGGGUAAAUACAGGUCAGUACUGACUUUGCUCAAUAGUUCCUCAGCAGCGCUGGUUGAAGUUUAAUUUGGAGAAAUGUUAAUGUUUUAUGCUUUAAAUCUUUGGUUGUUACAUUAGUUC